rnacentral:rRNA from 1 species
GACGAACGCUGGCGGCGUGCUUAACACAUGCAAGUCGAACGGAAAGGCCCUGCUUUUGUGGGGUGCUCGAGUGGCGAACGGGUGAGUAACACGUGAGUAACCUGCCCUUGACUUUGGGAUAACUUCAGGAAACUGGGGCUAAUACCGGAUAGGAGCUCCUGCUGCAUGGUGGGGGUUGGAAAGUUUCGGCGGUUGGGGAUGGACUCGCGGCUUAUCAGCUUGUUGGUGGGGUAGUGGCUUACCAAGGCUUUGACGGGUAGCCGGCCUGAGAGGGUGACCGGCCACAUUGGGACUGAGAUACGGCCCAGACUCCUACGGGAGGCAGCAGUGGGGAAUAUUGCACAAUGGGCGGAAGCCUGAUGCAGCAACGCCGCGUGCGGGAUGGCGGCCUUCGGGUUGUAAACCGCUUUCGCCUGUGACGAAGCGUGAGUGACGGUAAUGGGUAAAGAAGCACCGGCUAACUACGUGCCAGCAGCCGCGGUGAUACGUAGGGUGCGAGCGUUGUCCGGAUUUAUUGGGCGUAAAGGGCUCGUAGGUGGUUGAUCGCGUCGGAAGUGUAAUCUUGGGGCUUAACCCUGAGCGUGCUUUCGAUACGGGUUGACUUGAGGAAGGUAGGGGAGAAUGGAAUUCCUGGUGGAGCGGUGGAAUGCGCAGAUAUCAGGAGGAACACCAGUGGCGAAGGCGGUUCUCUGGGCCUUUCCUGACGCUGAGGAGCGAAAGCGUGGGGAGCGAACAGGCUUAGAUACCCUGGUAGUCCACGCUGUAAACGGUGGGUACUAGGUGUGGGGUCCAUUCCACGGGUUCCGUGCCGUAGCUAACGCUUUAAGUACCCCGCCUGGGGAGUACGGCCGCAAGGCUAAAACUCAAAGGAAUUGACGGGGCCCCGCACAAGCGGCGGAGCAUGCGGAUUAAUUCGAUGCAACGCGUAGAACCUUACCAGGGUUUGACAUGGAUCGGGAGUGCUCAGAGAUGGGUGUGCCUCUUUUGGGGUCGGUUCACAGGUGGUGCAUGGCUGUCGUCAGCUCGUGUCGUGAGAUGUUGGGUUAAGUCCCGCAACGAGCGCAACCCUUGUUCACUGUUGCCAGCACGUUAUGGUGGGGACUCAGUGGAGACCGCCGGGGUCAACUCGGAGGAAGGUGGGGAUGACGUCAAGUCAUCAUGCCCCUUAUGUCCAGGGCUUCACGCAUGCUACAAUGGCUGGUACAGAGAGUGGCGAGCCUGUGAGGGUGAGCGAAUCUCGGAAAGCCGGUCUCAGUUCGGAUUGGGGUCUGCAACUCGACCUCAUGAAGUCGGAGUCGCUAGUAAUCGCAGAUCAGCAACGCUGCGGUGAAUACGUUCCCGGGGCU